rnacentral:rRNA from 1 species
UCUGACCUAUCAGCUUUCGACGGUAUGGUAUUGGCUUACCGUGGCAGUGACGGUUAACGGGGGAUUAGGGUUCGAUUCCGGAGAGGGAGCCUGAGAAACGGCUACCACAUCUAAGGAAGGCAGCAGGCGCGCAAAUUACCCAAUUCUAACAGUUUGAGAGAGGUAGUAACAAGAAAUAACAAUACAAGGCAGUUAAAAUGCUUUGUAAUUGGAAUGAUAGAAAUUUAAACCCUUUUUAAAGUAUCAAUUGGAGGGCAAGUCUGGUGCCAGCAGCCGCGGUAAUUCCAGCUCCAAUAGCGUAUAUUAAAAUUGUUGCAGUUAAAAAGCUCGUAGUUGAAGUUCUGCUGAAAGUAACCGGUCUGCUUUUAAUAAAAGUGGUAUCUUGGUAUGUAUUUAGCAAUGAUGUCCUUUGAAGUGUUUUUUACUUUAUUGUAAUAAAGCAUAUUCAGGACUUUUACUUUGAGAAAAUUAGAGUGUUUCUAGCAGGCUGACGCUUUGAAUACUGCAGCAUGGAAUAAUAAGAUA